UGCAUGCAUGACUGUAAGCGGCUUUGGAUAAAAGCAUCUGCUAAAGAGCAUAAA
rfam:Salmo salar isolate Sally breed double haploid chromosome ssa11, whole genome shotgun sequence.